rnacentral:rRNA from 1 species
GACGAACGCUGGCGGCGUGCUUAACACAUGCGAGUCGAACGGAAAGGCCCUGCUUUUGUGGGGUGCUCGAGUGGCGAACGGGUGAGUAACACGUGAGUAACCUGCCCUUGACUUUGGGAUAACUUCAGGAAACUGGGGAUAAUACCGGAUAGGAGCCCCUGCUGCAUGGAGGGGGUUGGAAAGUGUCGGCGGAUGGGGGUGGACUCGCGGCUUAUCAGCUUGUUGGUGGGGUAGUGGCUUACCAAGGCUUUGGCGGGUAGCCGGCCUGUGAGGGUGUCCGGCCACAUUGGGACUGUGAUACGGCCCAGUCUCCUACGGGAGGGAGCAGUGGGGAAUAUUGCGCAAUGGGCGGAAGCCUGAGGCAGCAACGCCGCGUGCGGGAUGACGGCCUUCGGGUUGUAAACCGCUUUCGCCUGUGACGAAGCGAGAGUGACGGUAAUGGGUAAAGAAGCACCGGCUAACUACGUG